rnacentral:rRNA from 1 species
AAAUUGAAGAGUUUGAUCAUGGCUCAGAUUGAACGCUGGCGGCAGGCCUAACACAUGCAAGUCGAGCGGUAGCACAGGAGAGCUUGCUCUCCGGGUGACGAGCGGCGGACGGGUGAGUAAUGUCUGGGAAACUGCCUGAUGGAGGGGGAUAACUACUGGAAACGGUAGCUAAUACCGCAUAACGUCUACGGACCAAAGUGGGGGACCUUCGGGCCUCACGCCAUCAGAUGUGCCCAGAUGGGAUUAGCUAGUAGGUGGGGUAAUGGCUCACCUAGGCGACGAUCCCUAGCUGGUCUGAGAGGAUGACCAGCCACACUGGAACUGAGACACGGUCCAGACUCCUACGGGAGGCAGCAGUGGGGAAUAUUGCACAAUGGGCGCAAGCCUGAUGCAGCCAUGCCGCGUGUGUGAAGAAGGCCUUAGGGUUGUAAAGCACUUUCAGCGAGGAGGAAGGGUAGUGUGUUAAUAGCACAUUGCAUUGACGUUACUCGCAGAAGAAGCACCGGCUAACUCCGUGCCAGCAGCCGCGGUAAUACGGAGGGUGCAAGCGUUAAUCGGAAUUACUGGGCGUAAAGCGCACGCAGGCGGUUUGUUAAGUCAGAUGUGAAAUCCCCGCGCUUAACGUGGGAACUGCAUUUGAAACUGGCAAGCUAGAGUCUUGUAGAGGGGGGUAGAAUUCCAGGUGUAGCGGUGAAAUGCGUAGAGAUCUGGAGGAAUACCGGUGGCGAAGGCGGCCCCCUGGACAAAGACUGACGCUCAGGUGCGAAAGCGUGGGGAGCAAACAGGAUUAGAUACCCUGGUAGUCCACGCUGUAAACGAUGUCGAUUUGGAGGUUGUGCCCUUGAGGCGUGGCUUCCGGAGCUAACGCGUUAAAUCGACCGCCUGGGGAGUACGGCCGCAAGGUUAAAACUCAAAUGAAUUGACGGGGGCCCGCACAAGCGGUGGAGCAUGUGGUUUAAUUCGAUGCAACGCGAAGAACCUUACCUACUCUUGACAUCCAGAGAAUUCGCUAGAGAUAGCUUAGUGCCUUCGGGAACUCUGAGACAGGUGCUGCAUGGCUGUCGUCAGCUCGUGUUGUGAAAUGUUGGGUUAAGUCCCGCAACGAGCGCAACCCUUAUCCUUUGUUGCCAGCGAUUCGGUCGGGAACUCAAAGGAGACUGCCGGUGAUAAACCGGAGGAAGGUGGGGAUGACGUCAAGUCAUCAUGGCCCUUACGAGUAGGGCUACACACGUGCUACAAUGGCGUAUACAAAGAGAAGCGAACUCGCGAGAGCAAGCGGACCUCAUAAAGUACGUCGUAGUCCGGAUUGGAGUCUGCAACUCGACUCCAUGAAGUCGGAAUCGCUAGUAAUCGUAGAUCAGAAUGCUACGGUGAAUACGUUCCCGGGCCUUGUACACACCGCCCGUCACACCAUGGGAGUGGGUUGCAAAAGAAGUAGGUAGCUUAACCUUCGGGAGGGCGCUUACCACUUUGUGAUUCAUGACUGGGGUGAAGUCGUAACAAGGUAACCGUAGGGGAACCUGCGGUUGGAUCACCUCCUUA